rnacentral:rRNA from 1 species
ACGCUCGACACCUACGGGAGACAGCAGUCGGGAAUAUUGCGCAAUGGAGGAAACUCUGACGCAGUGACGCCGCGUAUAGGAAGAAGGUUUUCGGAUUGUAAACUAUUGUCGUUAGGGAAGAGAAAGGACAGUACCUAAGGAGGAAGCUCCGGCUAACUACGUGCCAGCAGCCGCGGUAAUCUGAGCGGGCUGGCAAGGC